rnacentral:lncRNA from 1 species
UAACUAUACAUGAAGAGGAGGCGCCGCCGGAAGUACCGACUACGCCACCCAACGAACCUCAGGACAAUUAAGAAAAUGGAGAGUCCCGUUCGGAGGACUUAAAAAAAAACACCGAACGCCUUGCCAAGAGGUAAACUUGGUAGUUAUCUUUUCCCUUUCAAUUAUUUUAAAUAGUUUACUUAGUUAAUCAUAUUCAUACUAUCCUAAGAAAAUAAAAAUAUGAAAAACAGUAAGCCUCAUGUGAGUAUACGAGUGGCAUAAAACCCAUAAGUACAUUCACUGUGGUGGCAUAAAAAUAAAAUAAAUAUUUUUCUGCUUUAUAAAAAUGAAAAUAUAAAAACAGAGAGUAACAUUUAUUAAGGAGUCUCAAUAUGAUAAAGUCUAGAUAUUUAUGCUAACACUUAAUCAGUUCCACAAGCUUUGUUGUCUAUUUGAGCUCCACAGAAUCUAAGAAUCAAGAAGACUGGCAGACGGAGGACAUUCUAAUCGCUGUCAGAAUACUGCUGACUUUCAAAUACACCUCUGCCACCUGCUAGCUACAUCAAGAGAAAUUACGUCAAAAUUCAGCUUGGGGGAGAGCACCCCCAUUUAUCUC